GAUGAACGCUGGCGGCGUGCCUAAUACAUGCAAGUCGAGCGAACAGACGAGGAGCUUGCUCCUCUGACGUUAGCGGCGGACGGGUGAGUAACACGUGGAUAACCUACCUAUAAGACUGGGAUAACUUCGGGAAACCGGAGCUAAUACCGGAUAAUAUAUUGAACCGCAUGGUUCAAUAGUGAAAGACGGUUUUGCUGUCACUUAUAGAUGGAUCCGCGCCGCAUUAGCUAGUUGGUAAGGUAACGGCUUACCAAGGCAACGAUGCGUAGCCGACCUGAGAGGGGGGUCGGCCACCUGGGAAGGUAGACACGCUCCAUAGUCCUGCGGGAGGCAGCAGAAUGGUACCGGCCGCAGUGGGCGGAAGCCUGACGGAACAACGCGGCGUGAGAUAUGAAGAUGUUGGGAUCGGAAAACUGGGUUAUUAGGGAAGAACAAAUGUGUAAGUAACUGUGCACGUAUUGACGGUACCUGAUCAGAAAGCCACGGCUAACUACGUG
rnacentral:rRNA from 1 species